CCUCUGAACUUUGGAGGGAUCCCAGCAUUCAAACCAUAGCAGGCGCCUCUGGGAUUACUGUGGACCGAGUUCUUCUCAGGUGUGCCUGAGGCGGCUGUGUCUCCUACUCUGCGAACCAUCUGGUUGUGCUGUCUAAGGAGGCCCCUGAGAAGGCCCACCUUCACCGCUUGUGUUUUCAUUUUCUCCUCUACACCAGGAGAAGUCUGCUGAGCCAUGGUCUGGAAGAUGUCAACCACAGAGGACUCCUGGGCUGUUCUAGGGAGUUGGGCUGUUGUCCUGAGGGCAAUGGAGAGCCACUGACCCAUUUGACGGAAGAGAAUGACCAGAGCAGAUUUGCACCUGUGGAAGAUCUCCCUGGCACAGUGGGGAGCACGGGCUAGAGGGGACAAGGCCAGGGGAUAAACCAGGAGUUGGCAUGAAGAUGAAGAGACAGACUGAGCUUGGCUAAGUGUUUUGCUGUAAGUCACACAGUUUGGAAGAUUUGGAAUUCUGGACAACUGGACUUGAAACCACCAUGAUGCCUCACUGCAUCCCCGACUUGGGAAAUCCGAGUCAUCAUUUGUAAUGAUCUUCUGCAUCAUUCAGAUGUCAUUCAGUACUCACUAAUGUGCUUUCUACACGGCUUUUCCGAAAUAGCUGGCAUCUGCAGCACUCUGGGCCGGAGACUUCCCGGGGGUGAAGAUGGUGUAGGCGCAUCCAGUGUGGACAGGAGGUGCCAGUUUAAAGGAUGACUGUUCAUGGCCACCUCACAAUCUGUGCACCCCCCUGGUGCCCAAGUAGCAGGGACAGGGCUGUGAACUUCCUGCAGGGACCAAACCCCACUAUUGGCAGCUGCUGGUCUUUGUGAUUGCUCCUAUGUCAGGCUUGGGGGACAGAAGACAUUUUUCUUUUGCUGAAACCUGAAGGGGAACAAAUCGUGUAAAACUUGGCAUCUAAAUCUUCCCUUUCCCUCUAAGGAAAACCUCUGCAAUCAUUCUGCAAAGUAUUCUCUCUCCUUUUGUCCUGUUUAAGAUUCGGGUGUUGACAACUUCCCUUUGGGAGACCAUAUUAGGGUCUCAGAUUUCACCAUCA
rnacentral:lncRNA from 1 species